GCCCUGGCCGCCAGCAGGGGGCGCAAGGCCAUGACCCCGUGAGCAAGAGGGCCCUGCAGUGCCCCCGGCCGCCAGCAGGGCGUCCACACCGGGCCGAAGCGAGGGUGAAGCCCGCGUUCUCCUCAGCACAGACCCGGGGGGGCACCGCCUCGCUUUGGGAAAACUCGAGGCCAUGAUUCCUCAGCGGUUGUUGCUGAGCCAGAUCUGCAUCUCACAGAAAACACCCCAGUGUUUUUCACCCCAAACAGGGACCCCUCCCAGUGGUGCCCAGCGUCUUUCACAGGACACCGUGUGAGUGCAGAUGGAGAUCCACUGAGCACUCUGCUGGGGAGCAAUUCAUGGGGAGCACCCCUCCAGAGAGAGAUGGCUCGCACAGGCCCUCAGCCCAGCCCCUUGCAGGCUGGACCUUGGAGAGUGAGGCCCUGAGACGAGACAUGGGCACCUGGCUUCUGGCCUGCACCUGCGUCUGCACCUGUGUCUGCUCGGGAGUCUCUGUCUCAGGGGAUGGACGAGCUGGACCCACUCUGACUUGCAGAGCACGUCAGCUCGCCACUGCAUCCUGACCUGGAGCCUCAGUCCUGCCUUGGAGUCAAUGAACACACUUCUCAGCUAUGAGCUGGCCUUCAAGAGGCAGGAAGAGGCCUGGGAGACUCGGAUGGGGGCCCACAGGGCUGGUGUGCUGCUGAGCCAGGACUGUGCUGGCACCCGACGAGGAGCCUUGGAGCCCUGCGUCCAGGAGGCCACUGCACUGUUCACCUGUGGCCCAGCGGGUCCUUGGAAAUCUGUGGGCCUGGAGGAGGAGCAGGAAGGCACUGGGACCUGAGCUCAGAGCAUGUGCUGCCAGCAGGGUGUACGGAGUGGAGGGCACAGCCCCUUGCCUAUCUGCCACAGGAGGACUGGGCCCCCACGUCCCCCACCGGUGCAUGUUACUCCCUUCCGUCCUUAGCAAGGCUCGGUCCUGGAUGUUCUAGGUCCCUGACUUGCCAGAUGAAUCAUGUCCAUUUUGGGAAAAUGGACUUAAGUCUCCAGAGCCCUUGUCUGGGACUGAACCUCCUGAGAAUGGGCCCCUAGCAGUGGUUGGAGGUCCUGUCUGGAUGGAGGCUCAGGGGCAGCUUCAGGGAGGAAGGAUCCCUCUGCUCAGUGCCUGUGGGGAGCAGCCUCUACCCUCAGCAUCUGCCCACAGGUUCUUCCUUCCGCUGUCCCUUUUCUUUAUCCCUGGCCUCUCUGAGAAGAGGGGUGUGGUCUCUCAGCUGUUCCACCAUCAUCCCCUUAAAGGGCCAGCCUGGGCCCAGUGGACACAGAUGGCGUCUUGGUCUGUCGCCCAGGCUGAAGUGCAGUGGCGUGAUCUCAACUUUCUGCAACCCCUGCCUCCCCGGUUCAAGUGAUUCUCCUGCCUCCACCUCCCAAGUAGCUGGGAUUACAGGCGUGAGCCACCACUCCCAGCUAAUUUUUGUAUUUUUAGUAGAUACAGAAUUUUGCCAUGUUGGCCAGGCUGGUCUCAAAUUCCUGGCCUCAAGUGAUUGCCAGCCUCCUCUUCCCAAAGUGCUGAGAUUACAGACAUGAGCCACUGCACCCGGGCAUGUCAUCUGUAUAUCUUUUUUGGUGAGGUGUCUAUCUUUUAAUUGGGUUGUUUUUCUUUUUGUUAUUAGAAUUUGUUUGCAUAUUUUGCACACAAGUCUUUUUCAAGUUUGUUUUUUAAAUAUUUUCUCUCAGUCUGUGGCUUGUUUUUUGAUUCUCUUAACGGGAUAUUUCAUAGAAUAGUCAUUUUAAAUUUUAAUAAAGUCCACAUUAUCUUUUUUUAUUUUAUGAACUGGCUUUUGAUAUUGUAUCUAAAGACUCAUCACCAAUCCAAAGUCAUAUGGAUUUUCUUCUAUAACUUUUACAAUUUUAUAUUUGAAAAUUUAAGUCUACAGACUAUCUUGAGUGAUUUUUUAGGGGUGAGCUAUGAAGUUUGUAUCUACGUUCAUUUUUUUCCCUAUGGUUUCCGAUUGUUCUGUCACCAUCUGUGGAACAGAUUUUUCUUUCCCCAUUGAAUAUUUUUGCCCCUUUGACAAAAGCAGUUGACUGUAUUUAUUUGGGUCUUUUGGGUUCUGUAUUCUAUUCCGUUCAUCUAUUUGUCCAUUCCUUCACCAAUAUCACUCUCUUCAUUACUUUAGCUUUGUGGUAAAGCUAACAGUAAUGAGUGUACUGCUGCUCCUAAACAAGGAGUAUCUGCAUUUAUUUAUAUAUUUUUUAUUCUUCCCAACCAUGAUCCAAGGUUUUCUGAAUGCAUAUUUAGAUGUAUUGUCUUACAUUUAUACUUAAUAAAUUCAAUUUUGGGGGUGCUAUUGU